GGGUUGUGAGGUUAAGCGACUAAGCGUACACGGUGGAUGCCCUGGCAGUCAGAGGCGAUGAAGGACGUGCUAAUCUGCGAUAAGCGUCGGUGAGGUGAUAUGAACCGUUAUAACCGGCGAUUUCCGAAUGGGGAAACCCAGUGUGUUUCGACACACUAUCAUUAACUGAAUCCAUAGGUUAAUGAGGCGAACCGGGGGAACUGAAACAUCUAAGUACCCCGAGGAAAAGAAAUCAACCGAGAUUCCCCCAGUAGCGGCGAGCGAACGGGGAGGAGCCCAGAGCCUGAAUCAGUGUGUGUGUUAGUGGAAGCGUCUGGAAAGGCGUGCGAUACAGGGUGACAGCCCCGUACACAAAAAUGCACAUAUUGUGAGCUCGAUGAGUAGGGCGGGACACGUGGUAUCCUGUCUGAAUAUGGGGGGACCAUCCUCCAAGGCUAAAUACUCCUGACUGACCGAUAGUGAACCAGUACCGUGAGGGAAAGGCGAAAAGAACCCCGGCGAGGGGAGUGAAAAAGAACCUGAAACCGUGUACGUACAAGCAGUGGGAGCCUCUUAAUGGGGUGACUGCGUACCUUUUGUAUAAUGGGUCAGCGACUUAUAUUCUGUAGCAAGGUUAACCGAAUAGGGGAGCCGAAGGGAAACCGAGUCUUAACUGGGCGUUAAGUUGCAGGGUAUAGACCCGAAACCCGGUGAUCUAGCCAUGGGCAGGUUGAAGGUUGGGUAACACUAACUGGAGGACCGAACCGACUAAUGUUGAAAAAUUAGCGGAUGACUUGUGGCUGGGGGUGAAAGGCCAAUCAAACCGGGAGAUAGCUGGUUCUCCCCGAAAGCUAUUUAGGUAGCGCCUCGUGAAUUCAUCUCCGGGGGUAGAGCACUGUUUCGGCAAGGGGGUCAUCCCGACUUACCAACCCGAUGCAAACUGCGAAUACCGGAGAAUGUUAUCACGGGAGACACACGGCGGGUGCUAACGUCCGUCGUGAAGAGGGAAACAACCCAGACCGCCAGCUAAGGUCCCAAAGUCAUGGUUAAGUGGGAAACGAUGUGGGAAGGCCCAGACAGCCAGGAUGUUGGCUUAGAAGCAGCCAUCAUUUAAAGAAAGCGUAAUAGCUCACUGGUCGAGUCGGCCUGCGCGGAAGAUGUAACGGGGCUAAACCAUGCACCGAAGCUGCGGCAGCGACACUAUGUGUUGUUGGGUAGGGGAGCGUUCUGUAAGCCUGUGAAGGUGGCCUGUGAGGGUUGCUGGAGGUAUCAGAAGUGCGAAUGCUGACAUAAGUAACGAUAAAGCGGGUGAAAAGCCCGCUAGCCGGAAGACCAAGGGUUCCUGUCCAACGUUAAUCGGGGCAGGGUGAGUCGACCCCUAAGGCGAGGCCGAAAGGCGUAGUCGAUGGGAAACAGGUUAAUAUUCCUGUACUUGGUGUUACUGCGAAGGGGGGACGGAGAAGGCUAUGUUGGCCGGGCGACGGUUGUCCCGGUUUAAGCGUGUAGGCUGGUUUUCCAGGCAAAUCCGGAAAACCAAGGCUGAGGCGUGAUGACGAGGCACUACGGUGCUGAAGCGACAAAUGCCCUGCUUCCAGGAAAAGCCUCUAAGCAUCAGGUAACAUCAAAUCGUACCCCAAACCGACACAGGUGGUCAGGUAGAGAAUACCAAGGCGCUUGAGAGAACUCGGGUGAAGGAACUAGGCAAAAUGGUGCCGUAACUUCGGGAGAAGGCACGCUGAUAUGUAGGUGAAGCGACUUGCUCGUGGAGCUGAAAUCAGUCGAAGAUACCAGCUGGCUGCAACUGUUUAUUAAAAACACAGCACUGUGCAAACACGAAAGUGGACGUAUACGGUGUGACGCCUGCCCGGUGCCGGAAGGUUAAUUGAUGGGGUUAGCGGCAACGCGAAGCUCUUGAUCGAA
rnacentral:rRNA from 1 species